rnacentral:lncRNA from 1 species
GUGUGACUGACCCUGCGACCAGGGCGAGGGGGACGUACGGUGAUCGGGUUCCAGCGGAGAGAGAACCCGCAAACUUGGGACUCUCGAGCGGAGGGUCUGGUUGAUACACAGAAACUCUCCACACCUCGGAGCUGGGAGGACCAGAAGCUGGUGCGUGACGGAAGCUGCGGGGCAUGGGAGAGGGAGGGAGCUCAGGACGUAGUUGGUGAGGCGGUUUCCUGCUGUUGCGCAGCUCAAGCUGACUGCAAGCUCCAGCGUAUCUCCUACUUCAGCUUUCUGAUGGCUGAGAUUGCCAGCACUCCUGGGUUCUGUUGCUUUAUUUUGUUGUGAGGGAUUUUUCCCCCUUUUUUUGUUUGUUGUUGUUUGGUUUUAAGAGCGUUUCGUGAAGCCCGUGUUGGCCUCAUCAUUUGGCGGCGUAUACUCUUAAUUUGAACUCCUGUUUAUCCUUCUAUCUCCGAGCUCUGAGCUCAUAAGCUGGAGCUGCCACACAUGGCUUCUGCAUGUUUAAGUAGUUACCACUGUAAGUAAAUAGAAUAUUUGAGUAGAUAAUCCGAAAUAGAUGGGUAGACAGAGGCGGCUUUAAAAGGCAUACGUGAGAGAACAGCGAAUACAGAGGCCCUAAAGCUGGAGCUUGUCUGUCUUAUUUAGGGAUUAACGAGGGCACCAGGGUAUUUCGAGCGCAGUGAAUAAGAUUGCCACAGAGGAUAAGUAAGUGAACAAAGUGGCCAUUUGGUUGUGUGAGGAACUUGGUCUUGGGUGAUAGAAGGACAUACUCAGACAGGUCUUGUAAUUGGACACCCAUAAUGUGCAUAGAUUAGAGGAUGAGCAGAAAUGAAAUCAAGAAUGGGUUGCAAACCAAAGUUGGGUGCAAUUAAAAACCUGCAUCUGAGCAUAGUGACUAAUUUCUAUAAUCCUAGCACUUGGGAGAAUUGCCCAUUGUGGGCUAGGGAGUGAGAGCCUUGGGGAAAAGGAAAACUGGCAGGAAAUCUGGCAGGAAGUGAAGACUGACUGUUGUAGUUGUGGCCAGGUGGAUCCCACAGCUUUUGCUUCUGGAUCAGAUGUACACACACAAGAGAGAGAAGGAAAAAAUAAAUUCAUAAUUCGGGGGUCUGUAGAUUUAAAAAAGGACCAAAGGUAAGUUCAGUCCACCGUUGGUGGUUCACGUCUUUAAUCCCAGGUUUGGAAGGCAGAAGCAGUCAGAUCUCUGAGUUCAAGGCCAACCUGAUCUACAGGGCAAAUUGUCGGACAAACAGAGCUACACAGAGAAACCCUGUGUGUGUAUGGGGGAAGGGGUCUGGAGGGGGGGGGGGCAAAACC